UUAAAUCACACGUUUUAAAUCAGAUGUCAUCCACCUGAUUUAAAAACCUUAAAAUAUAGGACACGGAAGGAAGACUUUUAAAGGAAUAAAAGCUAAAUCAGUUAGCCUGAUUUAAAAAAAUUAUUUAUAAUUAAAAAAAAUAAAAAUCAUUUUCACUUCUUCAGAUCUGCGACGACGAACACCAACAAAGCCUAGAACACAAAUUCUCUCAGAUCUGCACCAAAAACCCUAAACACAUACUUCCUUUUCACUUUCUCUCUGCGACGACGAACACCAACAAGGGUUCCUUCUCUGAGCGUAGUCUCUGCGACGAACGAACACGAACAGGACUUCCGAUUCAACCACCGCUUUUGGUCUUCUCAUUCCAAGGUAUCUCUCUUUCUUCAGUAUGUAGCUCCAAACUUAUUUAAUCUCAAUUUUAUGUGUUGUGUGAUGUUGUGUUUUCUUAAGUUCAAUUUGUUUUGUAAAUCUAGUUUAGAUUUAGUUUCUAUAAGUAGAUUUGCAUAAGUUUGUGUAAGUUAAAUUUGUGUGAGUGUGUUUAUGUGCUGCAAUUAAGGUAAAUUUCCCUCGGUGGUGUUUCUGGAAAAAUUUCCUCAGUAUUAUAAUGCAUAUUAUGAUUUGGUGGUAACUACAACUGUACAACUGUGACACAGUCGUAGAAUGUUAUUAUAAUCUGAUUAGUAUAUGAUGGCUAGGUUUAGGCUAUAGUUGUUUCAGAGUAAGAAAGAAUGAUGUUAAUAAAAAAUAGAGGAAUCUUAAAUUGCAUAUCAGAAAGAGGAAUGUUUUUGUUUCAUAUUUAGCAGGAUAUAUGGUGCUAACUUAGGGAUAAUGACUGUCAGGUCAUUUGGUGCUGAUAUAUAGUAUAUGUUUAAAGUGCAUUUGUGAUAAUUAAAUGGGAUAAUUAACUUUUGGUGGCGAUCCAACACUAUGUCUUGCAUGUUGGAACAUAUGGAUGCUUAUUUGUCAGGUCAUCGAGUAUUAUGUGAUAAACCGACUUUUGAAUGUUGUUGUUUUUCUUUUCAAUUAUCAUUUACCUGUUGAUCCAAUGGACGCAUUUGAAGAUUGAUCGACAAAGAGAUGGUAUGUGCUUAUUUUGUAGUUGUCCUUUCCUGAAGAAAAGAUUAUUAAAACCUACAAUAUUAUUUUUUCAUUUGUCUUUUUGAUGGGGUUGGAGAAGGAUGCAGCAGAAAACUGAUAUUUUACUCUUUUUUUUUUGGUACAAACUGAUAUUUUUCUUUUAGUCCUGCCCUUGUAUUGUAUCAGCUUACUUGUGAAUGCAUCUACACAUAUAUGUGUGUGCGGCUGUUCGCCUGAAUCUAUGCCUAUAUAUAAUGGGGAUACUAACUUUUGGUUACUGUUUCUUUUGAUUUUAUCCUUUAUUUGAACUAUUUUAUUUAUAAUUUUAUCAUUUUUUAUCCAAUCAAAUAAUUGAGUUUUCUAUACAUAUAUAUAAAGGGAAUACUAAUUUCAUUGCUAAUGGUUGAUGAAGUAGGAACUGUAGAAUUUGUAGUUCUGUGUGUCUAAAUUAUAGACCAAACCACCUGUAUUUUGAGCAUAAGUCUUUUGAGCAUCUGUUUAUUUAUCUCUUAAAUUUUCUUCCCGAGUGUGGAGAGCGAAUUAGUUUUCUGUCUAUAUUGUAGCCUAUCAAAGAUCGUUGAGUUAAAUUGAUUUCUUUUUUCCUUUCUUUUCAUAAAUUAGUGGUUUUUGUAAUGGGUUUGUGACAUAUUUUUUCAAUAUAGGACAGGACCAGCAACUGCUCAAGUUGGGGACGGGAAGAAAUAAAAUGUGUGCAAUCAAGCUACCUAAUCAUAAACAAACAAAUCAUGCUGAUGAAAAUUGCAGUCAGAUGUUGAAAGGAAUAGAUUUAAAGGAGAAAAGACUUAAAGAGGGGAACACCUUGAUUGAAUUAGAAUCUGAUGCAGUCCAGAAUUAAAAGGUCUGAAGACAUUCGUUUGGAAAUAUGGAGAGGAUUGAUUCAACCCAGCGAUUUUAAGAAUGGUCUCCCGAAACCAACUUAUGAGUUAACUGUUAAAGGAGGAGACAAAGUUAAGCAUACAAAUAGAAGGAAUCGAGGUUACAAGUAUAAAUUUGUAACUUUAUGGUUUAUAAUUGAUGAUUUUAGGUUAUAUGAUAUUAACUACUAUUAUGGAAUGAUUUUAGUAUAUAUAAGUAUAAUUUAUGCUAUUAGGUGUAUGAUACUCUAUUAUUAUAGUAUGAUGAUUUUAGUGUAGAAGUAUAAUUUUGUAACUUUAUGUUAUUAAUGGAUGAUUUUGGAUUAAAUAAAUUUUGGUGUAUGGUACUCGAGAAACAAUAGUAAA